rnacentral:miRNA from 1 species
ACAUACACAAACACACACACACACAUUCAUGCAUUCUGUGUGUGUGUGUGUGUGUGUGUGU